rnacentral:rRNA from 1 species
CUACGUGCCAGCAGCCGCGGUAAUACGGAAGGUCCGGGCGUUAUCCGGAUUUAUUGGGUUUAAAGGGAGCGUAGGCUGGAGAUUAAGUGUGUUGUGAAAUGUAGACGCUCAACGUCUGACUUGCAGCGCAUACUGGUUUCCUUGAGUACGCACAACGUUGGCGGAAUUCGUCGUGUAGCGGUGAAAUGCUUAGAUAUGACGAAGAACUCCGAUUGCGAAGGCAGCUGACGGGAGCGCAACUGACGCUGAAGCUCGAAGGUGCGGGUAUCGAACAGGAUUAGAUACCCUGGUAGUCCGCACAGUAAACGAUGGAUGCCCGCUGUUGGUACCUGGUAUCAGCGGCUAAGCGAAAGCAUUAAGCAUCCCACCUGGGGAGUACGCCGGCAACGGUGAAACUCAAAGGAAUUGACGGGGGCCCGCACAAGCGGAGGAACAUGUGGUUUAAUUCGAUGAUACGCGAGGAGCCUUACCCGGGCUUGAA